GAUGAACGCUGGCGGCGUGCCUAAUACAUGCCAGUCGAGCGAACAGACGAGGAGCUUGCUCCUCUGACGUUAGCGGCGGACGGGUGAGUAACACGUGGAUAACCUACCUAUAAGACUGGGAUAACUUCGGGAAACCGGAGCUAAUACCGGAUAAUAUAUUGAACCGCAUGGUUCAAUAGUGAAAGACGGUUUUGCUGUCACUUAUAGAUGGAUCCGCGCCGCAUUAGCUAGUUGGUAAGGUAACGGCUUACCAAGGCAACGAUGCGUAGCCGACCUGUGAGGGUGAUCGGCCACGCUGGAACUGAGACACGGUCCAGAUUCCUACGGGAGGCAGCAGUAGGGAAUCUUCCGCAAUGGGCGAAAGCCUGACGGAGCAACGCCGCGUGAGUGAUGAAGGUCUUCGGAUCGUAAAACUCUGUUAUUAGGGAAGAACAAAUGUGUAAGUAACUAUGCACGUCUUGACGGUACCUAAUCAGAAAGCCACGGCUAACUACGUG
rnacentral:rRNA from 1 species